AAGGUAUGUUGAAAGCACUUUCUAAGCAUCUCCUUGAAUCUCUCCUAACUCUUAUAAAUAGAUUCUACUUUUAACUGAGUAAAAGAAGUAAUGUCAUUUCUAAGCUU